rnacentral:rRNA from 1 species
UACGUAGGGCGCAAGCGUUGUCCGGAAUCAUUGGGCGUAAAGAGCUCGUAGGCGGCCUGUUGCGUCCGCUGUGAAAUCCCGGGGCUUAACCCCGGGCGUGCAGUGGAUACGGGCUGGCUGGAGGCAGGCAGGGGAGAACGGAAUUCCCGGUGUAGCGGUGAAAUGCGCAGAUAUCGGGAGGAACACCGGUGGCGAAGGCGGUUCUCUGGGCCUGUACUGACGCUGGGGUGCGAAAGCAUGGGGAGCGAAC